GUACCAAGCUGGCUGUCACAUGUCACCCAUUGAUCUCCAGGGUCGAUUCAGCUGACCUGGGCACCUCGGCGGGUCCCCCCCCACGCUCCAUGCGUGUCCCUCCCGAAGCUGGACACUCAUUGAAGAGGACAACCGCCCUGACACAGGAGAACCCUUUCCUUGGUCAGGCCUGGACGAGGAGCAGCACUCCCCUGCUACAGCCUCCAAACAAGCUCUCAAGAAUGGAAUCUCAGAAGUGGUCUAUAUGUCCGUGAACAACAACAACAAAAAAGGCAUAAAUAAAAUGUGUUACUUAUAC
ensembl:misc_RNA 7SK 7SK RNA